rnacentral:RNase_MRP_RNA from 1 species
CAGUUCUUCCUAGCUCUACUCUCGUGGUUCCAUACGAGUUAUCUCGACAACUCUUGCCAGCUUUUCUCAGAGAAGCUUACCAUGGGAAAAGUCCCCGGGCCUAGGGCAGAAAGUGCCAGCACGUAAAGAGUCCCUAUUGCAUUGAGGUAACGUUAGAAAGGUCAUUAGGCCUUUAGACGGUGCAAAUAUGCCAGAUCCUAAAGUAAUGUUGAGAAUUGUCAGCUGAUAGUGGGGCUUACGCCUUCCUGUCUUCUAGCAAUUACACAAUGGGGCUUACUUAGAAGGAACU